AAAUAAACAUAUUUAAAGUGAACCAAAUAUAGCAGGUAGAAAAGGAAGAUAAAGUCACUGAAAUAUAAACCAAAAUGGAUGGACUAAACACACUAGACACUGUUAAAAAGAUAAUUAGUAAACUAAAUGACAGACUUGAGGAAAACAUCAGAUUAUAGCACAAGGGUAUAAAAGAUUGGAGAAUAGUAAAGAGAAAUUAUAAGACAUGGAAGGUAAAAUGUGAAGAUCCAGCACAUAUCCGAGAAGAGUUUCAAGAGGAGAAUACAGUGAAAAUGAGGAGAGGCAAUGAGAUCAUGGUUGAGAAUUUUUCAAAACUGAUGAAGAUAUGAAUUCUAAAAUGAGAGGUACCCUUAAAGAAAAUUAAAUAAGAAGAAACUCACAUCUUGGCCUAUUGUUGAUAAACUCAGGACAUCAAAGGGAAGAAAAACCUUAAAAUUAACCAAAAGGGACGGACAAAUUAUCUCUAAAAAUAGAUGAACUGUAAGGAAAGGCCACAAACGAUCUCUUCAAAAUGGCAAAUUGUUUUUCAAGGGAAAGAAAAACACACAUUUUUAGAACUUCAAAGACUGAAUUUAGCAAAAUCUUCCCAGUGAAAGAACUGCUCAACAACAUACUUUGAGAAGGAAAUUAACUCCAAAGAACUGAGUAUAGGCAAGAAACAACAGGAAGCAAAGAAAUUAGUGAACAUUAAUGUCCUAGGCUGGACCCUCUGAGAAGCCAGAGAAAGAUGAGAUCAAGAGUGCAAGAGUGCUAUCAGAUAAAACGCCUGGUAAGAGAAAAUGGAAGGAGCUGUAAGAACUCAGACCAUGAUGCAAGUCUGACCGGAGAAAGCCCAUGAAUGUUGGUGUAUCAACAAGCAAGAUAAACUUCCUUAAAUGGCACAGAAAUUUGUGACAUCCUAGAAAAUGUCAUCAAAAGGAAAGAGGUAACAAUGUUAAAAUAUCUCACCCAAUCCCGUAAAGAUGACUAAUCUAUUUCAGCAUUUCAAGAUUUUAAGUAGCUAGAGAAUAAUAAAAAGAAAUUUCCACAAGCCUUUCAUAUGUAACAAAAUGAAGCUUGCCAUGCUCCCCCUGUGCAUUUAAUAAUGCACACCUAUUGAUUUAUAUUCACCAAUCUAUUGUAGCCAUUACUGUUUUAGGU